UUUGUUGACCGUUGCCACUUUGGAGAGACCAUCAAUCACAUAAGAUAUUUCAAAAUUAUCCACAAAACAUAUAUUUGUUUUUUCGGCAUCGCUUCGACAUUGUUGCGGAGUGCGUGGAUCUUGACCAAGUAAAUCAGUAACAGUCUAUAAGAGUGCUGUAAAAUAUGUUUCAUAAAGUGUUAUUUUUUACUUGAAGAAAGUCGUCGCAUGAUGAGAAAAAUUGAAAAGGUGAAAUUCCUCCUUGUUUUGAUAUCUUUUCACCUUUUCUACCACUCUGUGUCCAUUGUAUGAGUUCGUGUAGCUUGUCUAAAACGCCUUCAGCAAAUUUUACUUUAACCCUAGCUUCAGCAUCCGGAAUCCACGUGUUCCAUCUACCAGGUCUAAACCACUAAUCAUAACUUCAUUACAAAGUACACGGUCUAUUUUGACUAAAGAAAGACCGAUGGGAGAAGGUCUAGUUAAAUACAAAUAAUUAAUAUUGCAAUAUAAACAUGCUGCAACCUGUGCGGGGAUCGGGUUGCGAAAACUCCCUUACGAUUUCCUUGUAAUUUAGGAAGCCGUACCUUUCCCUUUAUUGAUUCACUGUGCCCAAUGUGGAAAACCCAUAUUAACCAACAUGAAUUCAAUAACUCCUUUCGCUUUUGAUACUAGGAGACCUAAUAGAACAUACAAGAGGAUCUACAACAAAAAAUAAAAAAAAAAAUACCUUGUCUUGGAACUCCAUACUUGGUUCUGAAACAACUACGUACAAUUCCAAUAUAUUUAGCAGUUAAAGAAUUUUUAGAUGAACGUUCAAAGGCUUGGGGAAACUCUUCUGGUUUUAGUUUUUCAUGAGUAUUAAAUCCGGUUUUGCUCGAUUUUUUGAAAUUAGUAAAUACUACAUUCAGAUGUCCUGAUCUAAGUGACUCCAUUUUCAAUUUGUUGUCAUUGAAAACCUCUAUAUUUGAACACUAACAAGCAGUAAGCAAAAAAUGCCUUAUCUUUACAAAAACUACUUUUGAGUACCCAUUCACAUUCACGAGGAAGAGCACAACCAUUAUCCAAAAAGGUCGCGUUAACCCAAGAGCUUACAUAGAUUCUUUUCGCACGUUGGUGAGAAUACUCUCAGUUAAUUCUUGAGCUUUUGCAAUGUUAAAUUCUCGGGAUCCCUUAUUUUCUCGAAAUGAAUAUUCGAGAGGAAAGGUGGAUGUUAAUAAACCCAUAAUUAUACCAUACUUUGAUGCUACAAAUUUGAUACUACUUAAGGGAAACAUCGAAAUGUUAAAUUCAUGCUUAUAGUUGAUGCAAAAAAGCCUGAAUUAUAACGUUCCGGGAAUUGCAUAACGUGCCUUCUAAGGACAUGAUUGAUUUUAAUUGUGUGCUACGCUUUGGAAGAUCUUUAAAUAACUACAUUUGAAAGUGGACUACAGGGAAACUGUACCAGCACAGAAUUUAUAAAAUUAUCAUUUUAGCAGCAUUGCAACUCACAUCUUGGGUAUAUGCAUAAACAAAACCAAUAAUGAUAAAAAUAAUGAGAUUUUCAAAGUUUUAUUUAGUCUUAGCGGUUCAAAAAUAUGUAAUGACAAAGUAUUGUAUUUCUUGAUUGAAACACAUCACUUGUUACUCGAAAAGUUCUCGCCUAUAAGCAAAGCUGUAAAUCAGUGUACAUGUACUUAUUAGCUACAAACUAAGCUUGGAACAUAAUAAAAUUAAUAAAAUAUAAGCAAAGCAUACAGAGGUAGUGAUACAUGAGUGGUAAUACUCUUUUAAAAACUGUUGAUGUUCCUCCGAAUCAAACGCUUUUUUGUUAUAAUUUAACGACAAAGGUGAAAAUUCAGCAAUUAAGAAGUUGUCUUUUUGAAUUUUUUUCUCCACACGGGAAAAUCAUAGAUGUUAUCGCUUCGAAAAGGGAUCCGAAAAAACGUGGUAAUGCUUUCAUCGUAUUUUCAAACAUAGUGGGUGCAACGACAUCUCUUCGAUCUUUACAAGGAAAGAUUUUUCUUGGGCGUCAAUUACACAUUUCAUAUGCAAAAACAAAAUCCGAUAAAGUAGCUUUGUUGGACGGAACCUACCGUAUGAAGAAACCCUUGCUUACAUCUGAAAUUUCUACUAAAUUUAAUAAUGAUAAGGAUGAAGAUUUACAUAUGCCUAAAGUACCUGCACAAGCCACAUUAUUUGUCCAAAACCUUCCUGAUACGAUCACAGAGACAGCACUUACUAUUUUAUUUAAACAAUAUCCGGGCUUUCAAGAGGUUCGAUUGAUCCAAGGCCGAGCUAUCGCUUUUGUCGAUUUCGGAAAUGAACUACAAGCAGAAAUAGCAAUUAAAGGUUUAGACAACUUUUUAGUAACACCUGACAAAGCGCUUAAAUUAUCCUUUGUCCAAUUAAAGCGUUAACAAUUGUAUCUUCACUUGUUAUUCUCAUUUUAGAAAACUGUACAACAUUCGUUUAUUUAUUGUUUUCUACCAUUUUUCUUGAUUUUUUUGUAUUUUUUUAUCCUACUGAUUGUUAAGCUAAAAACCGUUGUUUGCUUGGCUGACAUAAGUUAUUCACGACAAAGUUUUGUCCACAUGCUUCCUACAUCAAAAAAACUUCGUUCGCGUCACUCAAAUUAUACUAAACAUAAACUAUUGUAUAAAUUUA